rnacentral:rRNA from 1 species
CUGGCGGCGUGCCUAAUACAUGCAAGUCGAACGGUCUUUUCUAUGGAAGCUUGCUUCCACUGAGAAGAUAGUGGCGAACGGGUGAGUAACACGUGGGUAACCUGCCCAUAAGAGGGGGAUAACAUCCGGAAACGGGUGCUAAUACCGCAUAGUUUUCUUGAUCGCAUGAUCGGGAAAGGAAAGACGGCCUUUGUGCUGUCGCUUAUGGAUGGACCCGCGGCGUAUUAGUUAGUUGGUGAGGUAACGGCUCACCAAGACGAUGAUACGUAGCCGACCUGAGAGGGUGAUCGGCCACAUUGGGACUGAGACACGGCCCAAACUCCUACGGGAGGCAGCAGUAGGGAAUCUUCCGCAAUGGACGAAAGUCUGACGGAGCAACGCCGCGUGAGUGAAAGAAGGUUUUCGGAUCGUAAAACUCUGUUGUCAGAGAAGAACAAGUUGGAGAGUAACUGCUCCAGCCUUGACGGUAUCUGACCAGAAAGCCACGGCUAACUACGUGCCAGCCGCCGC